AGAGUUUGAUCCUGGCUCAGGACGAACGCUGGCGGCGUGCCUAAUACAUGCAAGUCGAACGAAACUUUCUUACACCGAAUGCUUGCAUUCACCGUAAGAAGUUGAGUGGCGGACGGGUGAGUAACACGUGGGUAACCUGCCUAAAAGAAGGGGAUAACACUUGGAAACAGGUGCUAAUACCGUAUAUCUCUAAGGAUCGCAUGAUCCUUAGAUGAAAGAUGGUUCUGUUAUCGCUUUUAGAUGGACCCGCGGCGUAUUAACUAGUUGGUGGGGUAACGGCCUACCAAGGUGAUGAUACGUAGCCGAACUGAGAGGUUGAUCGGCCACAUUGGGACUGAGACACGGCCCAAACUCCUACGGGAGGCAGCAGUAGGGAAUCUUCCACAAUGGACGCAAGUCUGAUGGAGCAACGCCGCGUGAGUGAAGAAGGUCUUCGGAUCGUAAAACUCUGUUGUUAGAGAAGAACACGAGUGAGAGUAACUGUUCAUUCGAUGACGGUAUCUAACCAGCAAGUCACGGCUAACUACGUGCCAGCAGCCGCGGU
rnacentral:rRNA from 1 species